AUUGAACGCUGGCGGCAUGCCUUACACAUGCAAGUCGAGCGGCAGCGCGGGGCGAACCCUGGCGGCGAGCGGUGAACGGGUGAGUAAUACAUCGGAACGUGUCCUCUUGUGGGGAUAACCAGCCGAAAGGUUGGCUAAUACCGCAUGAGCUCGAGAGAGGAAAGCGGGGACCGCAAGGCCUCGCGCGAGAGGAGCGGCCGAUGCCGGAUUAGCUAGUUGGUGGGGUAAUGGCCCACCAAGGCGACGAUCCGUAGCUGGUCUGAGAGGACGACCAGCCACACUGGGACUGAGACACGGGCCCCAGACUCCUACGGGAGGCAGCAGUGGGGAAUUUUGGACAAUGGGCGCAAGCCUGAUCCAGCCAUGCCGCGUGUGCGAA
rnacentral:rRNA from 1 species